rnacentral:rRNA from 1 species
CCCUUAGAUGUUCUGGGCCGCACGCGUAUUACAAUGGCGUCGUCAAUUGGCAACAAAACUCCUGUAAAAGGGAGUGGUAUCCCAUUAAUUGACGUCAAACUUGGGAUUGGCUAUUGGAAUUAUUGGCCUUGAACGAGGAAUUCCUUGUAAUUGCAAAUCAUCAGUUUGCGAUGAAUACGUCCCUGCCCUUUGUACACACCGCCCGUCGCUACUACCGAUUGAACGUUUUAGUGAGGUAUUUGGACUGGACCUUCGGAGGUUCGCGCCUCCGUUGCUGUUCGGGAAGACUCCCAAACUUGAGCGUUUAGAGGAAGUAAAAGUCGUAACA